UACGGAGGGGGCUAGCGUUGUUCGGAAUUACUGGGCGUAAAGCGCGCGUAGGCGGGCUGUUAAGUCGGGGGUGAAAUCCCGGGGCUCAACCCCGGAACUGCCUCCGAUACUGGCAGCCUAGAGAUCGAGAGAGGCGAGUGGAAUACCGAGUGUAGAGGUGAAAUUCGUAGAUAUUCGGUGGAACACCAGUGGCGAAGGCGGCUCGCUGGCUCGAUACUGACGCUGAGGUGCGAAAGCGUGGGGAGCAAACAGGAUUAGAUACCCCGGUAGUCC
rnacentral:rRNA from 1 species